ACAGUCAGUACAGUCACUUGGUGAUGGAAAGCAUGGAUUCUUUGACCAGAAACAGCAAAGGCAGAGAAAGCACACCAGACCAAAGAGAGGCAGCACAUUAGCAGCAGACUGGCUGAAGUGCUGUAAAGUACUGGCAGCUUGUACAGAAGCCAACAGAAGUAGGUAUCAGAGAAAGAUGUGCAUUCAAGAGGCUUAUUCACUGAGAAGAAAAAGAAAGGGCAUGAUUCAAGCAAGUAGAUACCCCUCACAGAACUCCAUUUUCCCAUUUGUUUGGGAAGACAAAAGAAACAACAGUAUCUGGAAGAUGACAAGAGCAGAAAAGACAAAAAAUGUAUCCCCGCACAGAGAUGAUUGACCUAAAAAUCCAUUCACCAGAAUGCUACUUACCAUUGAAACAUGCUUGCUUGAGAAGGGCAGGAGAACUGAACAGUGGGCUGAAGAAUCCCCCUUUAACAGAAAUUAACUACAAUCUGCUCUGCAAGUGUCUGGCAUAAAGGAAUCUUACAUCAUAUUGGAUCCCACUGAAGUCGAACAGAUCCGAGGUUGCAUUGCAGCAAUUUAUAUUUUUCAUAUUUAGAUUGUGAUCUGAUGCUUUAAACCACUUUGUAUUUAGUCUAA